UACGAGGGGGGCAAGCGUUGUUCGGAAUUAUUGGGCGUAAAGGGCGCGUAGGCGGUGCGGUAAGUCAGCUGUGAAAACUCUGGGCUCAACUCAGAGCCUGCAGGCGAAACUGCCGUGCUUGAGUGUGGGAGAGGUGCGUGGAAUUCCCAGUGUAGAGGUGAAAUUCGUAGAUAUUCGGAGGAACACCAGUGGCGAAGGCGGCUCACUGGUCCGGUACUGACGCUGAGGUGCGAAAGCGUGGGGAGCAAACAGG
rnacentral:rRNA from 1 species